CUUGCCAUCUUCAUGGAAUAUUCAAGUUGGGGGUGUGGGCGGUUCCCCGGGGUACGGAUCUCCUCGGGGGUCUAUGCUUCGACCCGGAUUCUGCAGCCUCCCCUCCACUCCCACCCGUACUCCGACCCGACCAGGCAUCGGAUAUCCUGAUAUCUUUAACACUUGCUGGGAGGAGGAGGAGGAGGAGCCGGUGAUGGAGAGGGUAGAGUCAGGGAGGGACUUGCGGGCGAAAAUGUUUGAAAGACUAAGCAAGGAGAAUUCUCUGGAACGGGUCGACCCGUACCCGACUAAUGCGGUGGAUCCGGAUCUGGGUUGGAU
rnacentral:lncRNA from 1 species